GUACUGCUGAAGAGUCCCAAAACCAGGACGACACAGCUGUCCAGUAC
rfam:Trichobilharzia regenti genome assembly, scaffold: TRE_scaffold0047895